rnacentral:tRNA from 1 species
GUCCUCAUAGCAUAAUUGGAUAGUGCUACAGCGUCCUAAGCUGUUGAUGGUGGUUCAAAUCCCCCUGAGGACA